GCCGCCAGCGAUGGAAAGAUGCUGCUCCGCCGCUGCCUGAUCUUCCGCUCUCUCUCUCCCCCCUGGUCCAAAUCCCUAAUUUUUCCCCAAGGAUUCAACCCCAAACUUUCUAAUCCCCUCUCAGAUUUGUCGUGCAGGUUAUGUUCUUGUUGGGGCUGCUCUUCCUCUGCUGCUCCAGAUUGAACUCGCCGGCGCUGAUGACCGCGGUGCCGCUGGGUGGUGCAGGUUAACGCUCAAGUGUGCAGCCAUGGAGCAGAUCGAGCAUAUGUGCAGGUUAGUGAUGCCCUUGUUCCUCUCCCUAUUUUUUUAUGCUCAAGUUCUCAGAUCUAGUAAAUUAAUUUAGUCUCAUGUGCAUGUGUGUGUACUGAACCAGUUCCUCCUGUGCAAGAUGUUUGUGUAGUGAUGCUGUACAAAUACCUUGCUUCAUUUUAUUUUACUUAUUUGAGGCUGUAUCCCCUUUCUUUCUUAUACUGUUACUUCCAAAAACAGAGAUAGAUGUUCUUGCUGUGAUUUGUGUGCACGUAUGGAUCACUGGGAUACUUUUGUAUGUGCAUCUGGGCUGGCUUCUUUGUGCUUGUGAAUACUAAAGAAAUGGCAGAAGAAGAAGAGCUCACCUUUCUUCUCUUGCUCCCUCUGUUGGUCCUACUAGUGUUGCUCCUACCUCCAGACCCCAGUCCAGUAGGCUAGCUUCUUGCUCUAGCCUGUCCCCUUCGAUCUCCAAUAUUGCUCAGGUCACCAUCUUCACUUAUUGCUCUUGGAUUCUUGUUGGUUGUAGGUAGAGAGAUGAAGACGGUGGGGAAGACAAGCUGUUGGUUUGGCUAUUUGGAAGAAUGGAGAUGAGUGAGGUCUUGGCAAUGGCUUGCCCUGCUCUCUCCCCUCUUAAUAUCAGAAAUCCAUCUCCCCUGGCUGGUAUGGCAGCCCAUUCCCUUCUCCAUUGUUCUCACAGGUGCUAGCUUCUAAUUGGCUGAAGGUUGAAGCCCAUACAUAGACUAUACUAUUGACCAAUUGACUAUUAAUAUAUUGUGCACGUGAGAGUGGUGGUUAGUGUGUCUCAACUGUGUCCUGUUGUCCUAGUUGACUCAAAGAUAUUUUGUGUUGGUCUAAGUUUGGUGUGGCAUUGCUGUAUAGAUUAGCAUAGUAUGGUCUCCCUAUACUUUUGUCCAAAGAUUUGUAAUACACUUGUACAACUGUACUGUUUGAGGUGUGUGAAUAUAAAUAUAUAUUUGAGUGGUUAUGCUGGUUGAAGAAAUCUGAAAUGUAUUUUCUUAAUUUAUUCUACUUAAUUAUCUAAUUAAGGUGGAAUUACUAUGUGAAAAU
rnacentral:lncRNA from 1 species